rnacentral:rRNA from 1 species
CAGGACGAACGCUGGCGGCGUGCCUAACACAUGCAAGUCGAACGGACGAGGGGAGCUUGCUCCCCAAGUAGUGGCGGACGGGUGAGUAACACGUGAGCAACCUGCCCUUCGGAGGGGGACAACAGCGGGAAACUGCUGCUAAUACCGCAUGACGUAUCUGGGAGGCAUCUUCCGGAUACCAAAGAUUUUAUCGCCGAAGGAUGGGCUCGCGUCUGAUUAGAUAGUUGGCGGGUAACGGCCCACCAAGUCGACGAUCAGUAGCCGGACUGAGAGGUUGAACGGCCACAUUGGGACUGAGAUACGGCCCAGACUCCUACGGGAGGCAGCAGUGGGGAAUAUUGGGCAAUGGGGGGCAACCCUGACCCAGCAACGCCGCGUGGAGGAAGAAGGCUUUCGGGUUGUAAACUCCUUUGACGAGGGACGAUAGUGACGGUACCUCGAAAACAAGCCACGGCUAACUACGUGCCAGCCGCAGC